rnacentral:rRNA from 1 species
GAUGAACGCUGGCGGCGUGCCUAAUACAUGCAAGUCGAGCGAACAGACGAGAGUGCUUGCACUCUCUGACGUUAGCGGCGGACGGGUGAGUAACACGUGGGUAACCUACCUAUAAGACUGGGAUAACUUCGGGAAACCGGAGCUAAUACCGGAUAAUAUUUAGCUUCGCAUGAAGCAAUAGUGAAAGACGGUUCUGCUGUCACUUAGAGAUGGACCCGCGGUGUAUUAGCUAGUUGGUGAGGUAACGGCUCACCAAGGCAACGAUACAUAGCCGACCUGAGAGGGUGAUCGGCCACACUGGGACUGAGACACGGCCCAGACUCCUACGGGAGGCAGCAGUAGGGAAUCUUCCGCAAUGGACGAAAGUCUGACGGAGCAAUGCCGCGUGAGUGAAGAAGGUUUUCGGAUCGUAAAACUCUGUUGUAAGGGAAGAACAAGUACGUUAGUAACUGAACGUACCUUGACGGUACCUUACCAGAAAGCCACGGCUAACUACGUG